rnacentral:lncRNA from 1 species
CUCUCCAGCCCAAGCGCAACUCUGAACCUGACCCUGACCUCCGACCCCAGAACACUUGGAGGCCCCUGGAGCCUCUUCCUGGGCUGUUCAGAGGCAUGAUCUAGACUCAGACCUACCUGGUUCCUGCACCGCGAUCACCUAGUUCCGGGGAUGUGGGUCUAUCACUGUCCCUGGCCGAGCCUCAGCUUCAUCUGUUAGCACCCCUAGCUCCUGGGAGGAGACAGGAGGCUGAAAACAACUUGGAGACCGGUGUGCACCGCACCGCAUAGUCUGCCAUCCUCUUCAGGUCUCAUACCUCUCUUGAUCUCCCCAACUACUAGAUGAAGCGGGUACUGCCAUCCCACUUUCCAGCAGGGCACAAGCUUCUCCAAGAAACAGGGUCUCACUGUGUUGCCCAGGCUGGCUUGAACUGGGUUUCAGCAAUCCUCCCACCUCAGCCUCCGAAAAUGCUGGGAUUACAAGCAUGAGUCACCACGCCUGGCCUGAAAACAUCUUCUCUAACACAAAGAUUUGUAUGUGAACGUUCUGUGAGGUAAAGUAGCACACCUAGGAAGCCAUGCAUGCUCGUUUCUGUUUGCAGCACAAUUUCACAAAGCCCCACCUCUGUGACCACCUGCAGCUCUCCAGAAAGAUGCUUUGAAGACAAAACGUGACGAGCACAGUCUCCAUCCCCACACCUCUGGCUUGAGUUGCUACAUUCUCUAAAAGAUCCAUGACCCUAGCCUUGCCUUUUCCUCCUCAUAACAUCUUAGUGAUGAUGUUAGUGAUGAUGCCUCUGUAAUCUAUAACCAGAUGUAUUCUUACC